rnacentral:rRNA from 1 species
UCCUUGGGUGGGGGACAACUGUGGGAAACUACAGCUAAUACCGCAUGAUGACCGAGGUCCAAAGCUCGCAGAGCGCCUGGGGAGGAGCCUGCGUACGAUUAGCUAGUUGGUGGGGUAAAGGCCUACCAAGGCGACGAUCGUUAGCUGGUCUGAGAGGAUGAUCAGCCACAUUGGGACUGAGACACGGCCCAAACUCCUACGGGAGGCAGCAGUGGGGAAUAUUGGACAAUGGGCGCAAGCCUGAUCCAGCAAUGCCGUGUGUGUGAAGAAGGUCUUCGGAUUGUAAAGCACUUUCGACGGGGACGAUGAUGACGGUACCCGUAGAAGAAGCCCCGGCUAACUUCGUGCCAGCAGCCGCGGUAAUACGAAGGGGGCUAGCGUUGCUCGGAAUGACUGGGCGUAAAGGGCGCGUAGGCGGAUGGCACAGUCAGAUGUGAAAUUCCCGGGCUUAACCUGGGGGCUGCAUUUGAUACCUGUUGUCUAAAGUGAGGAAGAGGGUCGUGGAAUU